rnacentral:tRNA from 1 species
AAAAACAUAGUAUAUUUAAUACAUUUCAUUUACACUGAAGAGCUACUUAACAAUUGAGUUGUUUUUA